GCCACCCACAGCUCCUGUUGAGGAGCAUCCCCCCCCCAACAAACUACUGGUGAGGAAGAGGAUAUCACGGUUGCUGGAGAGGUCGAGGUCCAGGAAGAGCCCGUUGUGAUGAGCCUCGCUCAGGAAGCUGUAAAAGAGAUUAUGCUGCGACAAGCAGCUAUAA